GAUGAAGAACGCAGCGAAAUGCGAUACGUAAUGUGAAUUGCAGAAUUCAGUGGAUCAUCGAAUCUUUGAACGCAUAUUGCGCUCUCUGGUAUUCCGGAGAGCAUGCUUGUUUGAGUAUCAGUAAACACCUCAACUUCCAUAUCUUUUUUGAAAUGGGAGUUGGACUUGAGUGAUCCCAACGCUUUUCCUCACCGAAAAGUGGCGGGUUACUUGAAAUGCAGGUGCAGCUGGACUUUUCUCUGAGCUAUAAGCAUAUCUAUUUAGUCUGCCUAAAAAACAGAUUAUUACCUUUGCUGCAGCUAACAUAAAGGAGAUUAGUUCUUGUGCUGACUGAUGCAGGAUUCACAAAGACAGGCUUCGGCCGACUUUGUAAACUCGAUCUCAAAUCAAGUAAGACUACCCGCUGAACUUAAGCAUAUCAAUAAGCGGAGGA
rnacentral:misc_RNA from 1 species